rnacentral:rRNA from 1 species
AUGGCCUCUGAGCCGCCCUGCAUCACCUCCACACGCGGACAACCUGCCUUGAGGUCACUAGUGUUGCCUUUGAGCUGCCAUCGCCUCCGAAGCAGCUCGCCCUGCCGCGGCCGACCUCGAGCCGCCGCCCCGCAGCCACGACCGUGGCUGACUCGCCUCUCCGCCAUUGCGACCACGCGGCCUCGAGCCGCCCUCGCUUGGUUCCGCCUUCAAAGCGGCCUCCGCAGCCGCGCUUUGCCUCUUCCGCGGCCUUGUCACCUCGUUGACCCGCCGCUUCCACGAGCCGUCGCGCCAGCAAAUCUCCGUCGUUGCCCCAUCCAAAAAUGUCCUUGCCCUCGCUUCCAAGCCGUAGUCGACGACUCGCCACUUCUGACCCGCAUUUCGAGCCGGCCCCGAGACACCUCUGAAUCGCCACUCCCACGGCCGUGCCAAGUUGCCUGCCUCCGAGCUACCCUCGCCGGAGCGGCCUCCAGCUGCCCGCCUCCAUCGCGAGUCGCGCCUCGGCCAUGGCUGCAGUCUCCUCUCGCCAGCGCCCUUUUGCCGCCUCUGAGCCGCCUUGCGUUGCUGAACCUCGCCUUGGCCCAACCCGCCGUAGCUCGCAGGCCGCCUUCAUCGCCACUCCACAAGCCGGCUUGCCGCUUCUAUGCCGCUCCGCCUCUCUACGAGCAUCGAUUUUCCCCGCUGCUCGCCGCCUCCCGCCGUCUCGUGCUGACUGCGCCUUGCGCGUUUCCGCAGCCGGCUGCGCUGCACCCGUCGAUGGUUGUGCCUUCUAGGCCACUCCCCUCCUGCGCGCGCAGCCGCCCGAUGUCCCCAUCGUGGGCCCUCUCGACUUCCUCUGCCCGGCAAGCGCACCCGUCCGCGCGCGGCCCUCAACCCGCCCGCAAUGGCCCGGUCCCCCAGCUCUCUCCUCAGGUGGCCUUGCCGCGCGGAUCGUCUACCCCUGCGCGCCCGCCGCGGGUCGGAUCCGGGUCGUCGCCCGCGCCCUGCUUACCCGUUAAGCUCGGUAUUUUUUUUAUGAAUAUAUAUAUUGAUUAG